CUACGGGAUGCUCCAGUGGGGAAUAUUGCACAAUGGGGGAAGCCCUGAUGCAGCGACGCCGCGUGCGGGAAGAAGGCCUUAGGGUUGUAAACCGCUUUCAAUUGUGAAGAAGGGAUGAGAGUUAAUAGCUUUCUGACUUGACGGUAGCAUUAGAAGAAGCACCGGCUAAUUUCGUGCCAGCAGCCGCGGUAAUACGAAAGGUGCAAGCGUUGUUCGGAUUUACUGGGCGUAAAGAGAUCGUAGGUGGUUUGUUAAGUCGGAUGUGAAAUCCCGGGGCUCAACCUCGGAACUGCAUCCGAUACUGGCAGGCGAGAGUACGGGAGGGGAAUGCGGAAUUCCGUGUGUAGCAGUGAAAUGCGUAGAUAUACGGAGGAACACCUGAGGCGAAGGCGGCAUUCUGGACCGAUACUGACACUGAGGAUCGAAAGCGUGGGUAGCAAACAGGAUUAGAUACCCUGGUAGUC
rnacentral:rRNA from 1 species